rnacentral:rRNA from 1 species
CGUUCGAUCCUAUUUUGUUGGUUUCUAGGAUUGACGUAAUGAUUAAUAGGGAUAGUUGGGGGCAUUAGUAUUCAAUUGUCAGAGGUGAAAUUCUUGGAUUUAUUGAAGACUAACUACUGCGAAAGCAUUUGCCAAGGAUGUUUUCAUUAAUCAAGAACGAAAGUUAGGGGAUCGAAGACGAUCAGAUACCGUCGUAGUCUUAACCAUAAACUAUGCCGACUAGGGAUCGGAUGAUGUUAAUUUUUUAAUGACUCAUUCGGCGCCUUACGGGAAACCAAAGUGUUUGGGUUCCGGGGGGAGUAUGGUCGCAAGGCUGAAACUUAAAGGAAUUGACGGAAGGGCACCACCAGGGGUGGAGCCUGCGGCUUAAUUUGACUCAACACGGGGAAA